CCAAUUGGCCAUGCUGGCAGGGGCUGAUGGGAAUUGUAGUCCAUAACAUCUGGAGUGCCAAAGGUUCGCCACCACGGCUCUAAGCCGUUCAGAUGACUGAGCAGACAAAAGGUACCCAGCUGUCUGAGAUGGAUUGAGAUUCCCGGUAGAAAAUUAUUCUGAAGUCAGAAUACGUGAAUGAAUGCGUAUGUGAAUGAAAAUCCUGCCGCCGUCUCUGGGUAGAGAUCGAACCCCCUCAUCUGGUGUUGCCUUAUGUUGGGAUGGACCAGUUGGAAUGAACCAGAAGGAUCUUACAGAACAGCCUGUUAAAAAAAAGAGAGAGAGAGAAUUAAUUCUUGCUCCCGAAGACGGUUUCCAAAAAGAUUGUCCAUAUUAAUCCUGAUAUCAACUAUUGCCAUUAAUUUUGUAAAUAAACAUUGACUGAAUUCUGAAUUUUGGGACAUUGGCUAAGCUGUUAAGUUAUGCUCUGAAUAAAUGUGCUCGUUCCAGAAGGAA